AGAGUUUGAUCCUGGCUCAGAACGAACGCUGGCGGCGCGCUUAAUACAUGCAAGUCGAACGGGAACCAGCUUCUUCGGAGGCUGAAAUUCUAGUGGCGAACGGGUGAGUAACACGUGGGUAACCUGCCCUCGAGUGGGGAAUAACAUUCCCAACGGUGUGCUAAUACCGCAUAACACAAGCGGUCAUAUGUCCGCUUGUCAAAGGUGGCCUCUCCUUGGAAGCUGCCGCUUGAGGAUGGACCCGCGGCCCAUUAGCUUGUUGGUAGGGUAACGGCCUACCAAGGCGACGAUGGGUAGCCGGCCUGAGAGGGUGAUCGGCCACACUGGGACUGAGAUACGGCCCAGACUCCUACGGGAGGCAGCAGUAGGGAAUAUUGCGCAAUGGGCGAAAGCCUGACGCAGCGACGCCGCGUGAGCGAUGAAGGCCUUCGGGUCGUAAAGCUCAAUCCGGAUGGGAAGAACGGCAGGAAGGUUAAUAGCUUUUCUGUUUGACGGUACCAUCAGGGAAGCUCCGGCUAAUUCCGUGCCAGCAGCCGCGGUAAUACGGAGGGAGCAAGCGUUGUUCGGAAUUACUGGGCGUAAAGGGCGCGUAGGCGGAUUGGUAAGUCAGAUGUGAAAUCCACCGGCUUAACCGGUUGAACUGCAUUUGAAACUGUCAGUCUUGAGAACAGGAGAGGGGAGUGGAAUUCCAGGUGUAGCGGUGAAAUGUGUAGAUAUCUGGAAGAACACCAGUGGCGAAGGCGGCUCCCUGGCCUGAUUCUGACGCUAAAGCGCGAAAGCUAGGGGAGCAAACAGGAUUAGAUACCCUGGUAGUCCUAGCCGUAAACGAUGGGCACUAGGUGUCGGAGUAUCGACCCCUUCGGUGCCGAAGCUAACGCAUUAAGUGCCCCGCCUGGGGAGUACGAUCGCAAGGUUGAAACUCAAAGGAAUGACGGGGGCCCGCACUAGCGGUGGAGCAUGUGGUUUAAUUCGACGCACGCGAAGAACUUUACCGGGGUUUGAACAUGUUUCCGAUCGGCGUAAAAGAUACGUCUCCCUCGGGCGGAAACACAGGUGCCUGCAUGCCUGUCGUCAGCUCGUUCUGAAAUUGUUGGGUAGUCCGCACGAGCGCACCUUGGCCUUAGUUGCCAUCAGUAUGCCUGGACUUAAGGGAACUGCGUAUAGCCGAGCAGUGGAUGAACUCAGUCCUCCAUGGC
rnacentral:rRNA from 1 species